UGGGGAAUAUUGCACAAUGGGCGGAAGCCUGAUGCAGCGACGCCGCGUGAGGGAUGACGGCCUUCGGGUUGUAAACCUCUUCAGCAGGACGAAGCGCAAGUGACGGUACCUGCAGAAGAGGCGCCGGCCAACUACGUGCCAGCAGCCGCGGUAAGACGUAGGGCGCGAGCGUUGUCCGGAUUUAUUGGGCGUAAAGAGCUCGUAGGCGGCUUGUCGCGUCGACUGUGAAAACCCGCGGCUCAACCGCGGGCCUGCAGCCGAUACGGGCAGGCUAGAGUUCGGUAGGGGAGACUGGAAUUCCUGGUGUAGCGGUGAAAUGCGCAGAUAUCAGGAGGAACACCGGUGGCGAAGGCGGGUCUCUGGGCCGAUACUGACGCUGAGGAGCGAAAGCGUGGGGAGCGAACAGGAUUAGAUACC
rnacentral:rRNA from 1 species